rnacentral:rRNA from 1 species
GACAGAGGGGGCAAGCGUUGCUCGGAAUUACUGGGCGUAAAGGGCGCGUAGGCGGGAUGGCAAGUCGGUCGUGAAAUCCCUCGGCUCAACUGAGGAGCGUCGAUCGAAACUGCCGUUCUUGAGGGUUGCAGAGGAGACUGGAAUUCCCGGUGUAGCGGUGAAAUGUGUAGAGAUCGGGAGGAACACCGGUGGCGAAGGCGACAUCCUGGACCGGUAUUGACGCUGAGGAGCGAAAGCGUGGGGAGCGAACAGG